AGGGGUAUAGCUCCAACUGGCAGAGCAGCGGAUUCCAAAUCCGCGUGUUGGGGGUUCGAAUCCCUCUACCCCUGCCA
rnacentral:tRNA from 10 species